GUGGUCUUUGGUAGUGGCGGCACCUUGACCAGUGAACAACUCACUGAGUUAGCUUGGGGUCUCGAACUGAGUCAACAAAGGUUCAUUUUAGUGGCGCGCAAACCAAGUGACGCAAGUGCCUCAGCAGCAUUUUUCAACGUGGGAAGCGAUGAAAAUGACCCAUUACUGUACUUGCCUGAAGGAUUCGUUAGGAGAACAGAAGGGAGAGGCUUAGUGGUCCCAUCAUGGGCCCCACAAACAUUAA
rnacentral:misc_RNA from 1 species